AUUGUACUCCCUCCGUCCCAAAAUUCUUGUCUUAGAUUUUUCUAGAUAUGGAUGCAUCUAGAUACUAAAACGUGACUAGAUACAUCCAUAUCUAGACAAAUCCAAGACAAUAAUUUUGGGACGGACAGAGUACAUA
rfam:Hordeum vulgare subsp. vulgare, WGS project CAJW01000000 data, contig: morex_contig_62127